rnacentral:lncRNA from 1 species
UUGCUUAACUACUCAAAAAGAGCAUGCCCCUGACACCCUUUUGGAGAUCACAGGGCAUCUUAUGAAAGUCAGUUCUAUCCUUCUACCAUCCGGGUCCCAAGGAUUUAACCAGGGUUUGACAGCAAGUGCUUUUACACCCUUGAACUAUCUCACUGGCCACUAGAUGUUUACAUUAAUAGUUUCAGAACUUGGAACUUGCUAUAGCAAAUUACUCUUCAGAAUUAACUUACUGAUAUUUUUCAUAAGAAUAUGUUCAAUGAUUGAGCACAACUCAGCUAUUUGAACACUUGCCUAGCAUAUGUGAACUUUUUUUUUUUUUUUUGGCUUUGGUUCCCAGUAUAGUUUUAAUGGUGCACACCUUAAUCUCAGCAGUAGGGAGGCAGAGGCAGCGGAUUUCUGAGUUCGAGGCCAGCCUGGUCUACAAAGUGGCUUCCAGGACAGCCAGGGCUAUACAGAGAAACCCUGUCUCGAAAAACCAAAAAAACAAAAACAAAA